ensembl:lncRNA
GUGACCCUGAGGGCAGUUGGGGCCAGUGGCAUCCGGCAAAGAGUCCUCUCCUCUCAGACCCUGCCCUGUGGGCCUCUCCCAGGUGGCUGUUCCUGAGUUGUGUCUUUCGUAAUGAGCCAGUGAUGUAGACUUCAAGCCCGGGAGGCAGCAUCUCAAGAGACCCUGAGAGAACUGCUCCAAGGAGGCAAAGGAGGAGCUGGAUUAUAUAGAAGUUUUGCAACAAAGGGCAGAACCAGAUAUCCCAAGCGGAUGUUGGCAAUGGCGCAGGAGUGGCUGAGAGGAGCUACCGCACAUCCAAGGCCAGGGGUGGCGGCCAAGACGAGCUAUCCCCUGCCUGAGGCCAGGGGCGACAGCUGAGAGGAGCAACCCCAUGUCCAAGGAGUGGUGGCUGCACGGGCACAGGAGGGCAGAGAGGAGCUACUCCACGUUCAAGGUCAGGAGGGGCAGCGGUGAGGAGAUACCCCUUGUCCAAGAUAAGAGAAACCCAAGCAAGACGGUAGGUGUUUUGAGAGGGCAUCAGAGGGCAGACACACUGAAACCAUAAUCACAGAAAACUAGUCAAUCUAAUCACAUGGACAACAGCCUUGUGUAACUCAGUGAAACCAAGCCAUGCCCUGUGGGGCCACCCAAGACGUAGGGGUCAUGGUGGAGAGGUCUGACAGAAUGUGGUCCACUGGAGAAGGG